rnacentral:rRNA from 1 species
GAUGAACGCUGGCGGCGUGCCUAAUACAUGCAAGUCGAGCGAACGGACGAGAAGCUUGCUUCUCUGAUGUUAGCGGCGGACGGGUGAGUAACACGUGGAUAACCUACCUAUAAGACUGGGAUAACUUCGGGAAACCGGAGCUAAUACCGGAUGAUAUUUUGAACCGCAUGGUUCAAAAGUGAAAGACGGUCUUGCUGUCACUUAUAGAUGGAUCCGCGCUGCAUUAGCUAGUUGGUAAGGUAACGGCUUACCAAGGCAACGAUGCAUAGCCGACCUGAGAGGGUGAUCGGCCACACUGGAACUGAGACACGGUCCAGACUCCUACGGGAGGCAGCAGUAGGGAAUCUUCCGCAAUGGGCGAAAGCCUGACGGAGCAACGCCGCGUGAGUGAUGAAGGUCUUCGGAGCGUAAAACUCUGUUAUUAGGGAAGAACAUAUGUGUAAGUAACUGUGCACAUCUUGACGGUACCUAAUCAGAAAGCCACGGCUAACUACGUG